AUUAGAAAGAAAAUUAUUUCUCCCCCUCCUCCUCUUCCUUUUCCUCCUUCUUCUUUUUGAUCUUACUUGAAGAAUUUAUUGUAUAAAAAGACAAAGGGACAAAGUGGGUAGUAUAUUGAUUGUCCUGGUGAAGCAAAAUGAAAGUUUCCAGACCUUGAGAUCAUUAAACACAUGUGGUUAAAAGAAAAAUCUUGAGAAGGCACCCUGGCAGUUAAGGUUCUAGAUAACACACUCACAUAUCAGAUUAAUCCUCCAAGCUUCGGUAGUUAAUAAAGGAGGAUUUAUUGCAAUGCAAUCCUGGUUUCUUUUCUAUGAAAUUUAUGACCUUCCCAUGUAGUGCCAAGAGCACCUGAAGGCUAUGUCAUGAAAAAAAUCCCAGCCACUGGGCCAAGAGAAAGCACAGGUGUGAAGAGCAGGGCUGACAGCAGGGGAUUAGAAUAAUCAUAUACCUGUUACAAGCAGACCCUAUCUGCUGUCAUCACCGCGGUAUAUGUUCUGGGGAAAAUAUAAUACACAUGUGCUUAUGUCACUCUUCCUUAAUAUCAAAACCUCAUGGUGGACUGAAUCUGCAGGCAGAUCUGUGGUUUCCCGAGCCUGGAAUAAGAAAUAAAAUGGAAGGAUCCAUACAUUUGACACUGAAUCAAAACCUUCCACAUUGUCAAUCAAAACCAGGACAAGGCCUUAGUCGAACUUAGACCACUCGGGAGGGUUUUAAAAAGCAUAGAGGGUCUCUUUUCACAUGUGGCUUGUGUAAAGUCCAUGGUGAUGGUAGAUCAAUUGAAUUAAGGAACAAAAAUUAGGAUAUGCCAGUGGUUCAGAUGUGAAUCGGGGCUUUUCAUGUCACUUCUCCACAUGGGUUACCAAUGUUUGUCGUCCAUUUGUGGAUUGAAAGGGAAUAAAAUGCCCUCAUUGAUUAAAAUGUUUUAUAGUAUUGGAGAAAUAUUUAGGACAUUCCAAAAACAUGUUGGAAAAGAUCUAAAAAGUAAACUCUUUCAUAGUCCAAAGACGUUGGCAUUUCUAUUGUUUUCUUGAACUCUAAUAUUUUUGAAAAUACCUUAGGACCUUUAAC
rnacentral:lncRNA from 1 species